rnacentral:rRNA from 1 species
CUACGGGGCGCAGCAGUGAGGAAUCUUCCGCAAUGGGCGAAAGCCUGACGGAGCGACACCGCGUGAAGGAUGAAGGCCUUUUGGUUGUAAACUUCUUUUCUGAAGGAAUAAAUGAUGAAGUUACUUCAGGAAUAAGCACCGGCUAACUACGUGCCAGCAGCCGCGGUAAUACGUAGGGUGCAAGCGUUAUCCGGAAUUAUUGGGCGUAAAGCGUUCGUAGGCUGCCUGUUAAGUUUGUAGUUAAAUCUGGUGGCUCAACCAUCAAAUCGCUGCGAAAACUGACAGGCUAGAGAAUGGCAGAGGCAACUAGAAUUCCACAUGUAGGGGUAAAAUCCGUUGAUAUGUGGAGGAAUACCAAAAGCGAAGGCAGGUUGCUGGGCCAUUUCUGACGCUGAGGAACGAAAGCGUGGGUAGCGAACAGGAUUAGAUACCCUGGUAGUC